GCGGUGUGUGUGACUGUUGUGAGCUGACUCAGUAAUGAGUCAAAGUCCAGAGUGCAGCUGUGCGGAUCAACAUGGAGGAACAGAAGAAGAUUCUCUGUGUGGGUCUGGUGUGUCUCGACAUCAUCAACGUGGUCGACAAAUACCCAGAAGAAGACACUGACAGCAGGUGUCUUUCGCAGCGCUGGCAGAGAGGAGGAAACGCUUCCAACUCGUGCACGGUGCUGUCGCUGCUCGGAGCGCCCUGCGCCUUCAUGGGCUCGCUGUCUGCUGGACCUGUGGCCGAUUUUAUUUUGGAGGAUUUUCAGAAGUUCAACAUCGAUGUGUCGCUGUUGUCUGAGCACGCUCAAUGUGCCCUUCCCGCCUCUGUGGUCAUCAGCAACAUCAGCACAGGAAGCCGCACCAUCCUGCACAUGAACAGUUUCAUCAUGGCUGACUUCUCACGGCAUGCUGUCGAUGUCUCGUCGCUGGUUUGGCAGGUAGAAGGUCAAACUCCGUGCGCAUGUUGUGUGGUUUGUCCGUCCAGCGGAUCUCGAACCGUCGUUCUCUCUGACACGAACCUUCCUGAUGUCACAGCGGAGGAUUUCUCCAAAGUCGACCUCCAUCAGUUCAAGUGGAUUCACUGGGAGGGUCGAAAUGCUGAUGAGCAGGUGAAGAUGAUCCAACAGGUGGUGACGUAUAACAGCACGUUGCCACAGCAACAGAGGAUCACCGUCUCCGUGGAGUUAGAGAAGGCCAGAGACGCCCUGUAUCAGCUGUUUCCUCACGGUGAUGUGGUGUUUGUCAGUAAAGACGUUGCUCGUCACUUCGGGUUCCUGUCUGCUGAAGCUGCUCUGAAAGGACUCUACAGUCGGGUCAAAAAGGGAUCUUUCACGGCCAUGUUGAAGUUCCCUGUGUAUGUUGAGGCCGAGGGCUGUCCUGGUAUGUGCCUGGGGAGAAAAAGGAGCAGAUGCUUUGGGUCCAGACGGUUUGGUUGUUCAUUCAGAUGCUUUUCCUCCUGAAACUCUCGUCGAUACUCUCGGAGCCGGAGACACUUUCAACUCCGCCGUCAUCUACACGCUGUCAAAUGGUGGAAGUUUGCAGGACGCUCUGACCUUCGGUUGCAGAGUCGCUGGCAAGAAGUGUGGUUUCCAUGGCUACGACGGCAUCGCCGGACAGUUCACGGCCGUCUGACCGAAGAGUUAAAAACAACGAUGGAUUCAGAGAACUGUGGUUACAGUCUGAGGUUACUCACUGUCAAAAAUGAUAAGUUAAUGAUGAACUGACAUAAAACAAUAAAACAAAGACCUGAUUUAAAUAAAUUUCACUUUGAAAAGUGAAGCUUCAUAAAAAGCUUUGACCAGUUUGUGUCGAUAAUAACUGAUGUAUGACUGAUAAGCUGAUAAAGUGAUAAUCAGUGGUACAUAACUGAUAGUUUACGGUUUGAUUAUUGAUUGAACUGUUGUUACCUGAAAUUAACUAUUAACAAGCUGCUAACAAAAUUAUUGCUAAGUGUUGAUGAACUUUGUGAUGCUGUGAGAUUAAAUAAGGAUGAUCUUGUUAAAAUGAGUUUAUUGCUGAAGUUUCUUUUCCCUGAUGAGAAUGAAACACGCGCACACACUUUCUGUCUGAGUUUGUAUUUAAUGAACUAAUAAAAUAAAAACCACCUAUGUAAUGAC